GCCUGGGUGGCUCAGUCGGUUGAGCAUCCGACUUCAGCUCAGGUCACGAUCUCGCAGUCCGCGAGUUCGAGCCCCGCUUCGGGCU
rnacentral:tRNA from 1 species